UAUGCACCCAAACCCAAAGCCAUAUCCCGUCAGUGGUAUGAUUUUUUUCUGGUGUGCAAACAGGAAAAUGAUCCUUGUCGCCUUUCUCUGACGCCGCAGUGACUUUGAAAGUGAAUCCAAGGGUCAACAGUU